rnacentral:tRNA from 1 species
GGAUGGCAGUAGUGCAGUGGUUAGCUCAGGUGUGUUAGACCAGUAGGUCCUGGGUUCGAUUCCCAGGGCAUUCU